ACCCGCACAAGCGGUGGAUGAUGUGGUUUAAUUCGAUGCAACGCGAAGAACCUUACCAAGGCUUGACAUACACCGGUAACGCCCAGAGAUGGGUGCCCCUUUGUGGUCGGUGUACAGGUGGUGCAUGGUUGUCGUCAGCUCGUGUCGUGAGAUGUUGGGUUAAGUCCCGCAACGAGCGCAACCCUCGUCCUAUGUUGCCAGCGGGUCAUGCCGGGGACUCAUGGGAGACUGCCGGGGUCAACUCGGAGGAAGGUGGGGAUGACGUCAAAUCAUCAUGCCCCUUAUGUCUUGGGCUUCACGCAUGCUACAAUGGCCGGUACAAAGGGCUGCGAUACCGCGAGGUGGAGCGAAUCCCAGAAAGCCGGUCUCAGUUCGGAUUGGGGUCUGCAACUCGACCCCAUGAAGUCGGAGUCGCUAGUAAUCGCAGAUCAGCAACGCUGCGGUGAAUACGUUCCCGGGCCUU
rnacentral:rRNA from 1 species